rnacentral:rRNA from 1 species
UUGACCUCGGAUCAGGUAGGACUACCCGCUGAACUUAAGCAUAUCAAUAAGCGGAAAAAWGAAACCAACAGGGAUUGCCCC